UAGCGAAGGGGGCUAGCGUUGUUCGGAAUCACUGGGCGUAAAGCGCACGUAGGCGGAUUUUUAAGUCAGGGGUGAAAUCCCGAGGCUCAACCUCGGAACUGCCUUUGAUACUGGAGAUCUUGAGUCCGGAAGAGGUAAGUGGAACUGCGAGUGUAGAGGUGAAAUUCGUAGAUAUUCGCAAGAACACCAGUGGCGAAGGCGGCUUACUGGUCCGGAACUGACGCUGAGGUGCGAAAGCGUGGGGAGCAAACAGG
rnacentral:rRNA from 1 species